CCCUUAGAUGUUCUGGGCUGCACGCGUGCUACACUGACUAUUUCAACAAGUGUUUUAACUGGAGAGUUCGCGUAAUCCUGAAAUGUUAUCGUGAUGGGAGUAGAGUAUUGUAUUUGUUAAUCUUUAACGAGGAAUUCCUAGUAAGUGUAGGUUUAUAAGUUGUUCUGAUUACGUCCCUGCCCUUUGUACACACCGCCCGUCGCUCCUACCGAUUGAUUGAUCCGGUGAAUUACAUAGAAUUUUGCGUUUUACAUGACGGAAGACGAAGUGUUUUAAACCUUAUCAUUUAGAGGAAGGAGAAGUCGUAACA
rnacentral:rRNA from 1 species